GAUUGGUCCACCCAGGAGACGCGGCGCGAUGGUGGUCUUCCUGGAACGGAUGGAGAGAAGGGAGAUCCCGGUCGCUCAGGAAGAGCAGGCCCCCUCGGCCCGGUGGGAGUCUCUGGACCUAAGGGUGAGAGAGGGAGUGCUGGCACACCUGGCUUCCCAGGAAACAAAGGAACACCAGUAAGA